CGGAGGAAAAGAAACCAACAGGGAUUGCCCCAGUAACGGCGAGUGAAGCGGCAACAGCUCAAAUUUGAAAUCUGGCGCAAGCCCGAGUUGUAAUUUGCAGAGGAUGCUUCAGGGCAGCGACCGGUCUAAGUUCCUUGGAACAGGACGUCGUAGAGGGUGAGAAUCCCGUAUGCGACCGGUUGGCACCCGUCACGUAGCUCCUUCGACGAGUCGAGUUGUUUGGGAAUGCAGCUCUAAAUGGGAGGUAAAUUUCUUCUAAAGCUAAAUACCGGCCAGAGACCGAUAGCGCACAAGUAGAGUGAUCGAAAGAUGAAAAGCACUUUGGAAAGAGAGUUAAAAAGCACGUGAAAUUGUUGAAAGGGAAGCGCAUGCAACCAGACUUGUCGGCGGUGUUCCGCCGGUCUUCUGACCGGUCCACUCGCCGCCGGCAGGCCAGCAUCAUCUGGGCGCGCCGGACAAAGGCGCGGGGAAUGUAGCUCCUCGGAGUGUUAUAGCCCCGCGCACAAUACGGCGCCGCUCGGGUGAGGUCCGCGCUUCGGCUAGGAUGCUGGCGUAAUGGUUGUCUGCGGCCCGUCUUGAAACACGGACCAAGGAGUCUAACAUCUAUGCGAGUGUUCGGGUGUCAAACCCCUACGCGGAAUGAAAGUGAACGGAGGUGGGAAGCGCAAGCUGCACCAUCGACCGAUCCUGAUGUCUUCGGAUGGAUUUGAGUAAGAGCAUAGCUGUUGGGACCCGAAAGAUGGUGAACUAUGCCUGAAUAGGGUGAAGCCAGAGGAAACUCUGGUGGAGGCUCGCAGCGGUUCUGACGUGCAAAUCGAUCGUCAAAUUUGGGUAUAGGGGCGAAAGACUAAUCGA
rnacentral:rRNA from 1 species